CUGUCCAACGUUAAUCGGGGCAGGGUGAGUCGACCCCUAAGGCGAGGCCGAAAGGCGUAGUCGAUGGGAAACAGGUUAAUAUUCCUGUACUUGGUGUUACUGCGAAGGGGGGACGGAGAAGGCUAUGUUGGCCGGGCGACGGUUGUCCCGGUUUAAGCGUGUAGGUUUGCAGACCAGGUAAAUCCGGUCUGCUUCAAGACUGAGACGUGAUGACGAGGCACUACGGUGCUGAAGUAACAAAUGCCCUGCUUCCAGGAAAAGCCUCUAAGCAUCAGGUAACACGAAAUCGUACCCCAAACCGACACAGGUGGUCAGG
rnacentral:rRNA from 1 species